rnacentral:tRNA from 1 species
GCCGAUAUAGCUCAGUUGGUAGAGCAGCGCAUUCGUAAUGAAGGUCGCAGGUUCGACUCCUAUUAUCGGCACCA